rnacentral:tRNA from 1 species
GUAGUCGUGGCCGAGAGGUUAAGGCGAUGAACUCGAAAUACAUUGGGGUCUCCCCGCGCAGGUUCAGACCCUGCUGACUACA